rnacentral:rRNA from 1 species
GACGAACGCUGGCGGCGUGCUUAACACAUGCAAGUCGAACGGAAAGGCCCUGCUUUUGUGGGGUGCUCGAGUGGCGAACGGGUGAGUAACACGUGAGUAACCUGCCCUUGACUUUGGGAUAACUUCAGGAAACUGGGGCUAAUACCGGAUAGGAGCUCCUGCUGCAUGGUGGGGGUUGGAAAGUUUCGGCGGUUGGGGAUGGACUCGCGGCUUAUCAGCUUGUUGGUGGGGUAGUGGCUUACCAAGGCUUUGACGGGUAGCCGGCCUGAGAGGGUGACCGGCCAGUGGGGGACUGAGAUCGGCCCCAGCCCCCGCGGGGGGGCAGCAGGGGGGAAUAUGGCAGAGGGGGCGGAGGCCGGAUGCCGCACCCCCGGGGGCGGAAUGACGGCUUUGGGUUGGAAACCCGCUUUCGCCUGUGACGAAGGGGGAGGGAGGGUAGGGGAUAAAGAAGCCCCGGCUAACUCCGCC